ACCUGUCAUUAUAGAACUAAGUAGCCUCAUUUGUUGUUCUAUUAUAAAUCAGUCUUGCUUUUAGGCCAUCUUUCAGUUUCUAACAAGCACAAUAUAUCUUUAAAUAUAAAAGUGAAGUUCUGUGUCUGUCUCCUACGAUUUAGAUUCCUAACUACUCCCACAUUUUGCGGUGCAGUGUAACCAAAAGCGGGUAUCUUAUAGUCGGGAUUCAUAUCGAGCCCUUCUGGGUAUUAGCGCUCAUCUACGAUGAGUCUACGAUUUUAAAAAAUAAUUUACCAUCAUUUUUUUCCAUUUUAAUGCAUUUUUUCGCUAUUAUAUAAGGGAAGUAACUCUCUAAAAAUGUCUACGAUGAGUCAACGAUUUAAAAAAAAUUUACCAUCAUUUUUUUCCAUUUUUAAUGCAUUUUUUUGCUAUUUUUUGGCUAUAACUCUCUAAAAAUGCUUAUAUAGAUAUUUCCCUUACAAAUCCGAGCAACGCCGGGCGAUACUGCUAGUCUUUGUUAAAAUGGUAAACAAACUUUAAUUCUAUGUCACGUAAUAAGCAAGAUAUGAUUCAAUGGAGGUGGGCUUCGGAACGUCUAUAGGCCAGAAUCUGCAGAGCGAACGGUGUGCCAGGAGUCGGACGAGCCAGAAGGACGAAGGCCAUCAAGUUAGGCUUUGGAUGUGGCAGGCGUUUCGUCAAAGUAGCUGUGAUCUGGGCAUGCAAGCUCUGGAAUGGUUGACGCUACUUGGGGUUGUAUUGACUGGACAUAAUCUGGGGCUUGGUUGCUUGGGUCAGGGUGUCUAUUUAUUGAAAGACUAAAAACACUUCAGAGAUCCUAGGAAACAUUUCUGACAUUUCCAGAUGCGUCACACGACGAUGUAUGGAAAAUAAAGGAUAACAGAAUUAUAUCAAAUGGAAAAUUUAUGUUAUCCCUUUAUCGCUGAGGAAUUAGGGUUUAGUCACUGGACCUAAGGAUUCUACCGACCCCCGAACAAAUAGAUUUUGAAAUUAAAAUACGAAUGAAUCUAAAGUUAGAGAUUUGACUGAAUUUAGAGAUUUUAGGAAAACAGGUUUAGCAGAGUUAUGUACCUUGUUUAAACAACAACAAAAAAACACUAAGAAGCGUGCGAUCAAUAGGUCAAGGGAGAUGACUCUGGUGCUUGGGUAAAAAGAAACGGGAAAAAGCAGUAUUUGAGAGAAUUUCUCAACUACCACUCCUAUUGGUUUCAAGUUUUGGCACAAGGCCAGCAAGUUCGGGGAGAGGUUUUAAGCCGAUUACAUCGACUCCAGUCCUCAACUGGUACUUAUUUUAUCGACACCGAAAGAUGAAUGGUUAAGUCGACUUCGGCGGGAUUUGAACUCAGAACAUAAAAGACGAACGAAAUACCGUUUAUUGCUCGACGUGCUCACGCUCGCCGCCUUAAAUAUCACUCAUAUUAACAGGAAAAUAGGCGGAUACACACACACACACUCUCUCUCUCUCUCUCUCUCUCUCUCUCUCUCUCUCACACACACACACUCUCUCUCUCACACACACACACACACUCUCUCUCUCUCUCUCACACACACACACACACACACACACACUCUCUCUCUCUCUCUCUCUCUCUCUCACACACACACACACUCUCUCUCUCUCUCUCUCUCUCUCUCUCUCUCUCUCACACACACACACACACACGUGGAUGUAUGGCUUCAUGCAAUACAAUACAAUUUAAAUCUUAAAUUGCGUGGCAGCAGCCAGCAUUAACAACUCCGUGUGCAGUUCGUUUCGUGUCGUUCGCGUAUUCUAAUUGAAUCCCUUGUUAUGAAAUCCGGGUUUCAGUGUUACACAGGCGAGAUUUAGUAAACAAAUCAAUACACAACAGAUAAUAACCAAUCUCUCAUGCUCUCUUUUGUUUACAUAUACAUAUAUAUAUAUAUAUAUUGGCGAUUUUUUUCCUCUGUCUUCCCUUCUCUGGAUCUUUCCUUCUCCUAUGUUUCCGACGAAGAGCUCCGCUCGAAACGUUAAACCCUCCUUUUUUCCUUCUUUCCUGAGCGUCCAAUAAUUCUAUAUUUGUUCCACGUCCUCGUGUUGUUGUGUUUUUUUUGUGCUUUCUUGUUUGGAUUAACUAUAUAUAUAUAUAUAUAUAUAUAUAUAUAUAUACAUAAAUUAUUAGAUUAAAUUAAUAUCAAUUUUUCACCCCCAUUUAUAUAUAUAUAUAUAUAUGUCUAUGACUCCAUGCCAAAGCACUUGUAUAUUUGUCGAUAGAAUUUUGAUUUAUAUGUAUGUAUGCAUGCAUAUGUGUGAGUGCAUGUGUGUUCUUUAUUCCUUCCUGGUCUUCAACGUCCCUGAAGCCAUCCCAUAAGCCAUAUUGUCUUCUAUUAGCAAAUAAGGACGCUUCCAUGUGAUCACAUGGCAUUCAAGAAAUAGCAGCCAUAUCUUCCUCGAAUUACAUUCUACCAUAUUGACAAACUGGAGAGAAAUACAGAAUAAUAAUAUAUUAUAAUUAGUUGUAGUAUCAUUAUUAUUAUUAUUACUAUCAUUCAGGUCACCUUAUGAGUACCAGAGUGAUGCUUCCAGCCAUCUCCUUCCUUAAUAAGUAUUCUGUUAUCAAAAGAUGUUUUAUCCUCCAUUAGAAUGAAGCACUCCGUCGGUUACGACGACGAGGGUUCCGGUUGAUCCGAAUCAACGGAACAGCCUGCUCGUGAAAUUAACGUGUAAGUGGCUGAGCACUCCACAGACACGUGCACCCUUAACGUAGUUCUUGGGGAUAUUCAGCAUGACACAGAGAGUGACAAGGCCGGCCCUUGAAAUACAGGUACAACAGAAACAGGAAGUAAGAGCGAGAGAAAGUUGUGGUGAAAGAGUACAGCAGGGAUCACCACCAUCCCCUGCCGGAGCCUCGUGGAGCUUUAGGUGUUUUCGCUCAAUAAACACUCACAACGCCCGGUCUGGGAAUCGAAACCGCGAUCCUAUGACCGCGAGUCCGCUGCCCUAACCACUGGGCUAUUGCGCCUCCACCAUCCUCCAUUAGACUAUGGUGCUGUUUAAAGACAAUACAGCACAACUCCUCAUUGCUUUGGUGUAACUGUUUUAGACACAAGCCCUUAGCCCUAACCCCACUUUUACUCUCAAACCUUCAGGAGUUAUGCUAUGCCAAUGUGCCAAUGAGCUGAAGUCCCAAUGUACUGAUAAGCUGAUAGGCCAACUCUUUUGGGACCUCUGCUGUGUCGUGAUCUUCCAUAAUUUAAUCUGAGGUUGCAAGGUUCUCAGUUACCUUGUGUGGCCAUGUGAAGGCACUUCAGGAAUUUUAUAUAAUCUAUUUGAUAAGGCUGUCAUGGUUGGACUGUCUGUUAUUAUGGGCCAGUUCAACAAAGGCUAACUUGAAGCUAAAUAACAACACCCACAACAACAUCACUAUCCUCAAUUUUUUUUUUUUUUUUUGUCGUUGCAGUUGCACUCUUUGACGAUGAAACUGCUGCUUACCAUUCUGCUUACCGUUCUGUGCCUGCAGGUGCAAGCACAAGAUCAAUGCUUCCACGAUUCAAGUGUUAACUGCGUCAGUGACUGCCUCAUGUGUCUGAUUCUGGGGAAGAAAUGUCCAGCGGACGCACCGAUCAAAAAUGGUACAAGGGCCUGCUGCGAAGACUGUAGAACUAGUGUGCAACAUCUGCCUGAAGGAAACCCUAAUAUUGUGGUCUACGGCCUGGCAUCAUGUCGUAGCGCCAGUGACAAUCUCGCUGCUGACUUCCAUAGAUGUCGAUCGGAUUUCUUCCGACUAGUUCGACCACACUCUUAUCAAGCAUUCUUUAAUGUGAACUGUAAUGUGUAACUGAUAUUUAUAUCUUGUGAGGUGGCGAGAUGGCAGAGUUGUUAAUAUGCGGGACAAAAUGCUGAACUUUAACCCUUCGUCCUAUCAAGGGUUGAUAAAACAAGUACUAGUUGUGUACUGGGGUUUGUUGUAACCAGCUAACUAACUCCCUUCCAACGAAAUUCAGGCCUUGUGCCUAUAACAGAAAGACUAUUUAUGCAUGUGUGUGUGUGUGUGUGUGUGCAUAUAUUUUGUAUAAGUUUGUUUGCGUAUGUGUCCAUUUUGAUAUCAGUUUUUGUUUUGUAAAAAAAAAAAAAAAAACCAAAAAUAUUAGACAAUAAAUAUUGAGAAUUGAACCCUCCA
rnacentral:lncRNA from 1 species